rfam:Triticum aestivum genome assembly, contig: Triticum_aestivum_CS42_TGACv1_scaffold_093119_2AL
AUACUACUCCCUCCAUCCCAAAUUAUUUGUCUUAGAUUUGUCUAUAUACGAAUGUAUGACAUUGUCUAUAUAUGAAUGUAUGUCAUACAUUUGUAUAUAGACAAAUCUAAAACAAGUAAUUUGGGACGGAGGUAAUACAAU